rnacentral:misc_RNA from 1 species
CUCCUAAUGUAAAAUUUUGAUUAAAUUAAAUAAUUCACUUUCAAAAACACUUUUCCCUUUCAUAUCAAUAUAAAGGAUACUUAUCUUGUGCAAAAGAAAUUUUGUAAGAAAAACGAAAAGUUUGAGCACUGCUUAGAAAAUUGACGAUAUCUUCCAAUAGAAAAUUCGAAGAUGCAAUCCACUUUUUUCUGGCGCCUCUGUGUAAAUCAACAAUAUCUCUUUGCAGGAAAUUC